ensembl:lncRNA
GUUAGGGCUAGGCAUUAGGGUUAGCAGUGUGGUUAAGGUUAGGGUUAGGCAUUAGGGUUAGCAGUGUGGUUAAGGUUAGGGUUAGGCAUUAGGGUUAGCAGUGUGGUUAAGGUUAGGGUUAGGCAUUAGGGUUAGCAGUGUGGUUAAGGUUAGGGUUAGCAGUGUGGUUAAGUUAGGGUUAGGGUUAGGCAUUAGGGUUAGCAGUGUGGUUAAGGUUAGGCUUAGCAGUGUGGUUAAGUUAGGGUUAGGCAUUAGGGGUAGCAGUGUGGUUAAGGUUAGGGUUAG